AACGAACGCUGGCGGCAGGCUUAACACAUGCAAGUCGAACGAGACCUUCGGGUCUAGUGGCGCACGGGUGAGUAACGCGUGGGAAUCUACCUUGGAGUUCGGGAUAACAGUUGGAAACGACUGCUAAUACCGGAUACGCCCUACGGGGGAAAGGUUUACUGCUCCAAGACGAGCCCGCGUCCAAUUAGGUAGUUGGUGGGGUAAAGGCCUACCAAGCCGACGAUUGGUAGCUGGUCUGAGAGGAUGGCCAGCCACACUGGGACUGAGACACGGCCCAGACUCCUACGGGAGGCAGCAGUGGGGAAUAUUGGACAAUGGGGGCAACCCUGAUCCAGCCAUGCCGCGUGAGUGAUGAAGGCCUUAGGGUUGUAAAGCUCUUUCGCCGGUGACGAUGAUGACGGUAACCGGAGAAGAAGCCCCGGCUAACUUCGUG
rnacentral:rRNA from 1 species